GAUGAACGCUGGCGGCGUGCUUAACACAUGCAAGUCGAACGAAGCAUUUGCGACAGAUUUUUUCGGAAUGAAGUUGCUUAUGACUGAGUGGCGGACGGGUGAGUAACGCGUGGGUAACCUGCCUUGUACUGGGGGAUAGCAGCUGGAAACGGCUGGUAAUACCGCAUAAGCGCACAAUGUUGCAUGACAUGGUGUGAAAAACUCCGGUGGUAUAAGAUGGACCCGCGUCUGAUUAGCUAGUUGGUGAGAUAACAGCCCACCAAGGCGACGAUCAGUAGCCGACCUGAGAGGGUGACCGGCCACAUUGGGACUGAGACACGGCCCAGACUCCUACGGGAGGCAGCAGUGGGGAAUAUUGCACAAUGGAGGAAACUCUGAUGCAGCGACGCCGCGUGAGUGAAGAAGUAAUUCGUUAUGUAAAGCUCUAUCAGCAGGGAAGAUAGGGACGGUACCUGACUAAGAAGCUCCGGCUAAAUACGG
rnacentral:rRNA from 1 species